rnacentral:rRNA from 1 species
AUGAAUGAGGGUAAUAACAAUUCCAGUGAGCAAGAAAAUGUAACUCAUUCACCGAGUGUCGAUAAACAACAACCAUUCACUGUUGACAUUUUUGAUCCACGAAACUGGGAUAAUCUGGAUGAUAAGGCUAGGGAUAUUUUAGUUGAGAAGGGUCCCGUAAGAAAUGAUGAUAUUGUGUACCCUCCAGAUAUUAAUUCUAGACGUUUUUCACAAUCUUAUUAUUCCAGAAAGUUGAGCAAUGGAGAGGUACAUGACAGGAAAUGGUUGGUUUACUCUGAACAUGUUAACAAAGUGUACUGCUUUUGUUGCAAGCUUUUCAAAUCCCAUAGCAACAAGAGUGCGUUAGCAGGUAAUGAUUGAGUGACUGGAAGCUAUCUUAGCGAGAGGCUUAAAGAACAUGAAAAUGGUGUAGAGCAUAUUAAAACCAUGAACACUUGGAAUGAGUUAAAAGUUAGACUAGCCAAAAAGACCAUUGAUAAGGAUAUCCAGUAGCAGAUCAAUAAGGAGAAAGAACGUUUGAGACAAGUGUUAGUGAGAUUAGUAGCCAUUGUUAAAAAUCUUGGUAAACGUAACUUGGCUUUUCGUGGAUGUAGUGAGAAACUUUACCAACACAAUAAUGGUAAUUUUUUGGCAUGUGUAGAGAUGAUUGCUGAAUUUCAUACAAUAAUGCAAGAACAUCUUAGACGAAUUCAAAAUGAUGAAAUUUAUCAUCACUAUCUCAGCCACAAAAUCCAGAAUGAGUUGAUUUCUCUUUUGGCCUCUAGUGUUACUAGUUCUAUCUUACAAAUUAUUAAAGAGGCUAAAUAUUUCUCCAUAAUUCUUGAUUGUACUCCAGAUGUUAACCAUCAAGAACAAAUGUAUUCGAUGGUCAACAUGUCAAAUAAGAAAGUAAAAAUAGAAGAAUAUUUUAUGGAAUUUUUGACGGUGGAUGACACUUCUGGUUUGGGUCUUUUUAAUGUACUUAUUGAUGCAAUAGUGGCUUAUGGAUUAAAUAUUGAUAGUGUAAGGGGCCAAAGGUACGAUAAUGGUUCCAACAUGAAAGGAAAUAAACAAGGGAUACAAAGUCGUUUAUUUGAAAGAAAUCCAAGAGCUCUAUAUAUGCCAUAUGUGUGUCAUAGCCUCAAUCUUACUUUGUGUGAUAUGGCAAGUUCUUGCAGUAAAGCUACAUCCUUCUUUGGAAUUGUGCAACGAAUUUAUGUUUUAUUUUCAAGUUCCACAAAAAUAUGGAAAGUUUUACUUGACCAUAUUCCUAGUUUAACUGUGAAAGGUUUGUCUAAUACUCGGUGGGAGAGUCGAAUCAAAAGUGUAAAAGCUAUUAGAUAUCAAGCUCCACAAUUAAGGCUAGCUUUGUUCGAGUUAUGUAAAAUUUGUGAUGAUGCCUAGUCAAGGAGCGAUGCAAAAAAAUUAUUUGAUGCACUUGGUAGUUUUGAGUUUUUACUUGGCAUGGUUAUUUGGCAUGAUAUAUUUUUUGCUGUAAACAUGGUGAGCAAGAAGUUGCAGUCUGCAUCUAUGUGUGUCGACUCUACCUUGCAGCAAAUUGAAGGCGUAAUGCACUUUUUUGAUAAGUAUAGAGAUGAAGGAUUUGCAUCUUGUUUGACUAUCGCCAAAGGUCUUGCAAUUGACAUGGGCAUAGAACCAUCAUUUCCAAUAAAACGUAACGUUACUAGGAAGAAACAAUUUGAUGAACCCGAUAACGAAGAAGAAGUUCUAAAAGUUGAGAAGGCGUUCAAAGUUAUUUAUUUCUUAGUUGUGGUUGAUAUUGCAAAGGUCUCUUUGACAACUAGAUUCAAAGAACUCAAAGUGUUCAAAAGUAUAUUUGGCUUCUUACUUAGCUCAAAAGACAUGAAGUUAUUGGAUGAUGUUGAACUACGCAAAUGUUGUGCUAAGUUUGUAGAAACAUUUUCACGAAAUGGUUCAUGCGAUGUUGAGUUAGAUGAUUUUUUUUCUGAAUUAAGACUGCUGCAAAUGACUUUACCAGAAUCAGAUUUGCUAUUGCACGCUAUGGAGAUUUUUGAGUUUGUUAGAGAUAUUGACUUUUUUCCAAAUGUUUUAAUUGCUUAUCGAAUUUUGUUCACUGUACCAAUGACCGUAGCAUCAGCAGAGCGUAGCUUUUCGAAGUUGAAAUUGUUAAAGAACUAUUUGAGGUCAACAAUGUCACAAGAACGAUUAAAUGGUCUUGCUACUUUAUGUAUUGAGAAAGAUAAGUUGGAUGAAAUAAAUGAUCGAUGA